UACGGGAGGCAGCAGUGGGGAAUAUUGCACAAUGGGCGCAAGCCUGAUGCAGCCAUGCCGCGUGUAUGAAAAAGGCCUUCGGGUUGUAAAGUACUUUCAGUCGUGAGGAAGGUGUUAAGGUUAAUAACCUUAGCAAUUGACGUUAGCGACAGAAGAAGCACCGGCUAACUCCGUGCCAGCAGCCGCGGUAAUACGGAGGGUGCGAGCGUUAAUCGGAAUUACUGGGCGUAAAGGGCACGCAGGCGGUUAAUUAAGUUGGAUGUGAAAUCCCCGGGCUUAACCUGGGAAUGGCAUUCAAGACUGGUUAGCUAGAGUCUUGUAGAGGGGGUAGAAUUCCGAUGUGUAGCGGUGAAAUGCGUAGAGAUGUGGAGGAAUACCGGUGGCGAAGGCGGCCCCUGGACAAAGACUGACGCUCAUGUGUGAAAGCGUGGGGAGCAAACAGGGAUUAGAUACC
rnacentral:rRNA from 1 species